rnacentral:rRNA from 1 species
UACGUAGGUGGCAAGCGUUGUCCGGAUUUACUGGGCGUAAAGAGCGCGCAGGCGGUCGUUCAAGUCGCGUGUGAAAGCCCCCGGCUCAACUGGGGAGGGUCACGCGAUACUGAUCGACUCGAAGGCAGGAGAGGGUAGUGGAAUUCCCGGUGUAGUGGUGAAAUGCGUAGAUAUCAGGAGGAAUACCGAUGGCGAAGGCAGGUCUCUGGGCUGACACUGACGCUCAUGCACGAAAGCGUGGGGAGCAAACAGG